rnacentral:rRNA from 1 species
UAGGGAAUCUUCCGCAAUGGACGAAAGUCUGACGGAGCAACGCCGCGUGAGUGAAGAAGGAUUCCGGUUCGUAAAACUCUGUUGUUAGGGAAGAAAAAAUGUAUAGUAACUAUAUACAAAAGAGACGGUACCUAACCAGAAAGCCACGGCUAACUACGUGCCAGCAGCCGCGGUAAUACGUAGGUGGCAAGCGUUGUCCGGAAUUAUUGGGCGUAAAGCGCGCGCAGGUGGUUUAGAAAGUCUGAUGUGAAAGCCCACGGCUCAACCGUGGAGGGUCAUUGGAAACUAAUAAACUUGAGUGCAGGAGAGAAAAGUGGAAUUCCUAGUGUAGCGGUGAAAUGCGUAGAGAUUAGGAGGAACACCGGUGGCGAAAGCGGCUUUUUGGCCUGCAACUGACACUGAGGCGCGAAAGCGUGGGGAGCAAACAGG